AACACUCUCAAGUUUCAAUACAGUGAAAACCCUAAACUUUCUGCACAGUGACUUUGUCUCUGCGACGACGAAGAACCGUAAACCUCUCUCUCUGUGAAACCCUUUCUCCACUACCGUUUUCAGGUUCACAUUUCCAUUCCCUCUCUCUCUUUGCGAAACCCUUUCUCCACCACCGCUUCAAUUUCAGAUUCUCCAUCGCCGCUUCAGUUUCAGAUCUAAGUUUUCAAGGGUCUCUUCGCUGCAGCCGUCGUCAUCUUCGCAUUCAGUCAGUAGCUGUAGACACAUGGAUGAUCCAUCAGCUCCUUCACUAAGUGAGAAUGAUAUUCAGCCUACAAAAAAGAGGUGUAGACGUGGCACACGAAUGAAAUAGAUGAGUUUACAUUGCAAUGGUGUAAAG